UCCAAGGCUGAGUAGCAAAGUCAAUUUGGAAGUUGUGCUGAACUCUGAAAGCCUCUGGUUGCUGUCCCUAGGGGACUUUUAAUCCUGCAGAAGAUGCUGGUUACAAGAGAGGUUCUACUAGGCAGAAAAAUCUGCCUGGAAGAUGUGUCCGUAGAUGCCCCUUAUUUUGUCUUGCUCAAGGUGAUGGGAAGGAGGAUGAAGAGGGAAGGGAGACAAGAGCCUUCAGAUGACCUGACACCCUUCUGUAGUCAUUUAAUCACUUUGGGAGAGUGGGGAGAAGUUUUCCACAGGGAGAAGCAGCAGGCUGAAGUGGCUCUUUAGGGAGACACAUACCUCCACAGGAAGAGCAGUCUAGAUUGUUUUAGCACAUUCCACUUAAGGAUUGCAGUGUGACAGCAGAGAAAAUCCUCUCCAGUCAAGUAAUUGCAUCCAUUUCAUCUUCCCAGCCCUCCUCUAGAUGGGAGGUGGAGGUGUGUGUACCAAUCUCUUAAUUCAGAAAUGAGACAAGAGGAGGAAAAAGGAGUUCCGGAGGUGUGUGAUCCAAGUCUGGCUGCAGGCUAUGGACAUUCCAGGAGGGAGACUCCAUCAGAGAAGUGGAGCUGGAGUUGGGUGUUAGAGGGUAAAGGGAGGGUUUGAACAGGCAAGGGAUGGGGGAGGAGUGCCUUACAGUGGGAGAGGGAGAGGCUGCUUGAAAAAGCAUAGAGCUGUGAGUGAGCAUGCGUGCCCAAGGAGAGGGAGCCAGGCACUGCCAGGGUGCAGGUGGGGCAGACUGGCUAGGUGUGUGGCCAGGGUGUGGAAGGAACAUGCUAAGUGUGACAGUUAAUUUAUGUGUCAUCCUGGCUAGGCUAUGGUGCUCAGUUGUUUGGUGAAACAUCAGCCUAGAUGUUGCUUCAAAGGUAUUUAUUAAAUGUGUAAUUUAAAUCAUAGACUUUGAGUAAAGCUGAUCACCUUACGUAAUGUGAGUGGGUCUCGUCCAAUCAACUGAAGGCUUUAAGAGCAAAGACAAAGGUUUUUCAAAGAGAAAAAGAAGACUCUCCUCAAGACUGUGACAUAGAAACUCUGCCUGAAUUUCUAGCCUGCUGCCCUGCAGAAUUUAGAGUCAAGCCUACAACAUAACUCUUACCUGAAUUCUCAGGCUGCUGACUUACCCUGCAGAUUUUGGACUUGCCAGCCCCUCACAAUCCCAUGAGCCAAUUCCUUAAAAUAAAUCUCUCUUUUUCCCUCUGUAUAUAUUUAUGUCCUAUUGAUUUUGGUUCUCUGGAGAGCCCUGACUACUACACUGAGUGAAGGGAGGGCUUUGCUAAGUGAUCAUGGUCCCAAGGGCAGCCUCUGAGAGCCCGCUCCUUUUGCAGGAUAUUUGAAGACCAGACCUUGAGUCAAAUUCUGCAGCCAAAUUCAAUGCCCAUAAGACUUUCUGCUCAGAAGACGUCAUGCAAAGGGAAUCCCCAGGGCUCUUUAAAUUAGAUCUUCUGUUUGUGCAGACACGUGAUAAAUGUUUUGGGUACAGCCUGGCUCACACCACAUUUUCCACUUUUUGGGUGGAGUCAGUUUUAAUUGACAAGAAGUGCCUUUACAGGUGGACUUUUUUUUUGGUGGUGGAGGGGAGUAGUUAAAACCGAUGCUUUGCAUUCUGUUGGGCAGCAGAAAGAUUGCUUUUUCAAUAAGCAAGCCUUGGGUUUUUCUGAGCCAGUGGUAUGAGAAAUGCCUCUCCUGAAGGCCACCACGCAAGCGAGUCCCCACAGAAGCAUGCCCGAGCUGUCAGGUGCAGGGAGAAAUAUCUUUAGUAAGAGCCGGUCAUGUAAUGAGACUUCCCCACCACAGCAUAGAUGGGCAGAGGGGUUUCCACAAGGACAAUUCUUAAGAAUCUCUGUAAAAACGCAUGACUCCAUCUGUCUCCUCUCUCUUCUUUGGCUUCAGAUGAGCUGAGCCAUUUAAAAAUUCCCCAACAAGGGACCCCAGGCACCAGAAGAAGUGAUGAACAGAUUUUCAAUUUGGCCCUGAUUUGCAUAAAUUUUUUUUUUCUGGCAGUUGAAAUCAUUGAGACUAGAGGCCGGAGAUGGGUAGUAGUGGGUUUUCCCCAUCUGAAGCGGAUUCUUGAUUGGUCUGGAAAGACUGCUGGAGCUCCUGGGUGCAAGGCUCUGACCAGCAGAGCUGGUCAGCAGAGCUGACUGCUCUGGGUGCAGCUUCUCCAGAGAAGGAAGAGAUGGCAAAGAGGAAGGCCUGGGGUUCAGAGAAGGACUUUGCAACCCCAAUGGGGAGUCAGAUCCUCAGGUCUCCUCCUAGAGCGGCUGCCUGGUAACUUUCCCAGUGUCCUUCAGGGAGCAUCUCCUCGUCCGUGUGGCUGGUUUCUUCUGAUAGGAGGCUACCUUGUAAUUUCUCACUGACAGGACAGUGGGGACCCCAGCCAGAGCCUGGGGACUUGGCUGCCUUGGAACCAGAACCUGGCCCCUCAGAGGAGUUGCAGAAUUUCGAUAGAGGAGUGGCAGGAGGUGUACUGGCUGAAGAGGAGGCCCAAGGAACUCCUUUUCAUACAUCAAAACUGAGCUUAUCACCUCUACCCUGAAGUCAUCCUGGACAUCACUGGUCCCAGUUAAUCACUCACUUAUCUUUGCCAUCCUUGACCUGGGAAGAGAACGUUGCCCUCAUUGGUCUGGAAUCAGCAGGUACCUCAUGGCUGGAGGUGUAUUUUCAGGUGGGUUGGGACUUUGAAGAGGUGGCUUUUCCUAUGGACCCCUCUGACUCCCCACCUGUGGGCAUGACACAGGUGACCUGGCUGCCAGGGCAGAGGCUGCUUAGCCCUGCUCCAGAGAAACAGAGCUCUGAGGGCUUCCAGAAACCAGGGCUCCUGGCUCCUCAGUCCUUCCCACUCCUCUCUUCCUACUCCCGUGCUGCAUAUAAACUUUUCUU
rnacentral:lncRNA from 1 species